GAUGAACGCUGGCGGCGUGCCUAAUACAUGCAAGUCGAGAGAACGGACGAGAAGCUUGCUUCUCUGAUGUUAGCGGCGGACGGGUGAGUAACACGUGGAUAACCUACCUAUAAGACUGGGAUAACUUCGGGAAACCGGAGCUAAUACCGGAUAAUAUUUUGAACCGCAUGGUUCAAAAGUGAAAGACGGUCUUGCUGUCACUUAUAGAUGGAUCCGCGCUGCAUUAGCUAGUUGGUAGGGUAACGGCUUACCAAGGCAACGAUGCAUAGCCGACCUGAGAGGGUGAUCGGCCACACUGGAACUGAGACACGGUCCAGACUCCUACGGGAGGCAGCAGUAGGGAAUCUUCCGCAAUGGGCGAAAGCCUGACGGAGCAACGCCGCGUGAGUGAUGAAGGUCUUCGGAUCGUAAAACUCUGUUAUUAGGGAAGAACAUAUGUGUAAGUAACUGUGCACAUCUUGACGGUACCUAAUCAGAAAGCCACGGCUAACUACGUG
rnacentral:rRNA from 1 species